rnacentral:rRNA from 1 species
GACAGAGGAUGCAAGCGUUAUCCGGAAUGAUUGGGCGUAAAGCGUCUGUAGGUGGCUUUUUAAGUCCGCCGUCAAAGCCCAGGGCUCAACUCUGGGUCGGCCACUGAUACUCGCGAGCUCGAGUUUGGUAGAGGCAGAUGGAAUUCCGGGUGUAGCGGUGGAAUGCGUAGAGAUCCGGAAGAACACCGGUGGCGAAGGCGGUCUGCUGGGCCAAGACUGACGCUGAGGCGCGACAGCGUGGGGAGCAAACAGG